CGCGGUUCUAGGGGAACGGGGCCUGCGGGGCUGUCCUCUGGGCAGCAGAGCCCGUCCACAGGAGCUGGGGUGUGGGGUGAGGAGACCGGUUUGGGUGCCUGUCCUGGGUGAGAGCUGAAUCCCCUGGGUGGGGCUGGUGGUGAGUUCCUGGCCCCCAUGCCUGCUCCCCUGCAGCUGGCUGACAAGGGCAAGGCCAAGGCCCUCCUGAGCCUUAGCAAAUCUCGGGCUCCUGCAGGCGAGGAAGUGCAGGCCACACAGAGGUCCUGGACCUCCUGGUGUCACCCCAAGGAGAACUUUUUAAAAUGCAAAUGAGAUGUCGCCCUACCAGAGGAAACCCAACUUGGAGAUAAGGACCCACACCCAUCCCACCUCCAGCCAGGCCCUCUCCGGUACCCUGAGGGGACUCGCUGGCACCAGGACUCGGCUCUGCUGGGCCUGAGCUUCCUCUUCCCCAAGGCCCCACCGGCUCUGACUUCUCAGCAAAGACAAAGUCUGCAUCCCUUCUUCAGGGAUGCCUGCUGCCAAUGGGAAACGGUGCUGCCCAUAGAGAACGUUGCUGUUUCCAUGGUGAUCCAAGUGGCUCACGGGUAGGAAGGUGGAUGCCAGACUCCCCGAAAAUCUGGGGUACCCCGGAGCUAGAGAAGCAAGAGACCCAGUUGCAGAGGCAACUCCCAGCCCCCUGGCCCACACUCGCCCUGACCCCAGGGAGGCAAGAAGCCGGCAGGCAGCCCAGGAGCGAUGUCCCGCAGAGCCCAGCACGCAGCCGCCGGGGGGAAAUCAACCCAUCAAUACAUCAUAUUAACUCUGACUCCACUAAUGCCAUCCCUCCGGUGCGGCACAAAUUGAAUUGCUGAUGGGCUGGGGAGAGGGGAGGACGGACGAGGGGGCCUCUGUUCCCUCCUAGCAGCACUCAGGAUCGCGG
rnacentral:lncRNA from 1 species